CUAUACAUGCAGUCGUACGCUUCUUUUUCCACCGGAGCUUGCUCCACCGGAAAAAGAAGAGUGGCGAACGGGUGAGUAACACGUGGGUAACCUGCCCAUCAGAAGGGGAUAACACUUGGAAACAGGUGCUAAUACCGUAUAACAAUCGAAACCGCAUGGUUUUGAUUUGAAAGGCGCUUUCGGGUGUCGCUGAUGGAUGGACCCGCGGUGCAUUAGCUAGUUGGUGAGGUAACGGCUCACCAAGGCCACGAUGCAUAGCCGACCUGAGAGGGUGAUCGGCCACAUUGGGACUGAGACACGGCCCAAACUCCUACGGGAGGCAGCAGUAGGGAAUCUUCGGCAAUGGACGAAAGUCUGACCGAGCAACGCCGCGUGAGUGAAGAAGGUUUUCGGAUCGUAAAACUCUGUUGUUAGAGAAGAACAAGGAUGAGAGUAACUGUUCAUCCCUUGACGGUAUCUAACCAGAAAGCCACGGCUAACUACGUGCCAGCAGCCGCGGUAAUACGUAGGUGGCAAGCGUUGUCCGGAUUUAUUGGGCGUAAAGCGAGCGCAGGCGGUUUCUUAAGUCUGAUGUGAAAGCCCCCGGCUCAACCGGGGAGGGUCAUUGGAAACUGGGAGACUUGAGUGCAGAAGAGGAGAGUGGAAUUCCAUGUGUAGCGGUGAAAUGCGUAGAUAUAUGGAGGAACACCAGUGGCGAAGGCGGCUCUCUGGUCUGUAACUGACGCUGAGGCUCGAAAGCGUGGGGAGCAAACAGGAUUAGAUACCCUGGUAGUCCACGCCGUAAACGAUGAGUGCUAAGUGUUGGAGGGUUUCCGCCCUUCAGUGCUGCAGCUAACGCAUUAAGCACUCCGCCUGGG
rnacentral:rRNA from 1 species